rnacentral:lncRNA from 1 species
CCGGCUCCGACCCAGCCGAGAGCCGAGCUGCCCCGGCCACCACCCUCCCCAGCUCCCCUUGGACCUUUCGUCCUCCCCUUCUUAUAGAUCGCCCGAGCCUGGAAUGGAAGAGAAACGGGCGCGGGAUCAACGGGCGGAAGUAGAGGCGGAGGUUGGGGUCUUGAUGAUCCAUGGAGCUCGCACGCGGAUGAAAAAGCUGGGAGGAGGAUUUGGAGGGAGGGAUCGGUGGAAGGAGCCAAUCACGGCCGUGGUGGAUGAUCUGAAUCAUGGAGGAUUUG